rnacentral:lncRNA from 1 species
GAGGAAUCUUAAAGCCGCAGCGCCUCCUUUCCCGUCGCCGCCCGUUCCCCAGGGGAAGGCGUCCUAUAGAGGAAGGUUCAGAGCGGGAGUCAGGACUUGGGGUCUGACUCGCACCCUCGUUCGUGUUUAUCGGAUGCGUAUCGGGCCUGCGAGGCCAAGCGCGGGCCAGACGCCGGGGAGGGGAACGGGCAGUGAUUAAAACAUGAACAAGAUCCUGCCAAGAAGAGUUCACAGUCUAGCGCGCAAGGCAGACCAGGCUGGCGAGGUGAGCAGGAGCCGCGCUCUCCAGGACGAGGGGCUGUGGCUGCAGGGCUGAAGGGCUGUCACAGACUACUGCGGCAGCACCUGCCGCUCCAAGGCGUGGCCAGUCGCUGCUUUCGGGGGCUGCGAUUGAUUCUGCUCUGUCGCCCUUUCCCCCCAGCAGCCUGUGAGGUGGGCCUUCUCCCUAUCACGGCUAUCCAUCCCAUUUUAGAGAUGAAGAAUGAGAGGCCCGGAGAGAUGAAAAGUCUCAGCCAAAAAUCUCAUUUUACUUUUUUGCAGAACCCAGGACUAGGUCACAGGACCUGGGCUGCUGGCCAGCUUCCACUGUGCUUACCUGAGAGGAUUAGACCCGAGAGGGGACUUCCCGAUAGGAAUGAAGUGAGACUGGAGAAAGGGCAGCUGAAGGAAGAGGCGGCCACCGUGUCCUUCUGUGCACCAGCCUGACCCUGUCUGUCCCUGUCCCCAAACGCAGGCCUGGAUGUGGGCAGAGGGCAUAGAGAGGUGAAUGGUUAAAGAAGCUGUGGUGUAUCUAUACUGGAGAUAAAUGAAAGCAGUGAACCGUUGAUACCCACGAAAACUUGGAUGAUCUCCUGGGAAUUGUGCUGUGUGAAAAGACCCAAUCCUAAAAGGUUACGUGUUGUAUGUUUCAGUUCCUGAAGUGACAAAAUUUAGAAGAGGAGGACAGAGUAGUGGUACAAAAUAUUAAGCGGGGGUAGAGAAAUAGGUGUGAUUAUAAAAAUAAAACAUGAGGAAUCUUUGUGGUGCUGGGACUAUAGUGGUGGAUAUACAAACUUACACAGGUAAUAAAACAGCUUAGGACUUAAUAUACACAUACCCAGACAAGAACAAGAGAAACAUUUACAAGGCCGGUAGAUUGUAGCAAUGUCAAUAUUCUGGCUGUGAUAUCAUAAUAUGGCUUUGCAAACCGUUACCAUUCAGUGAAAGUGGGCAAGGUGCACAUGAGAUCACUGUAUUAUUUCUUAACAGCAGCAUGGGAAUCUAUACUUAUCUCAUUUUCUUACUAAAUGUUAUGACAAAUUAUUAAUGUCUCUGCUGGGUAUAGGGG